UACGUAGGGUGCAAGCGUUAAUCGGAAUUACUGGGCGUAAAGAGCUCGUAGGCGGUUUGUCGCGUCUGCUGUGAAAACUCGGGGCUUAACCCCGGGCCUGCAGUGGGUACGGGCAGACUAGAGUGCGGUAGGGGAGACUGGAAUUCCUGGUGUAGCGGUGAAAUGCGCAGAUAUCAGGAGGAACACCGGUGGUGUAGACGGCUUACUGGACCACGACUGACACUGAGGCACGAAAGCGUGGGUAGCAAACAGG
rnacentral:rRNA from 1 species